CCACAACUUUGCAAAACACUACGAAAACGUAAUAUUAAAGAAUCUAGUAUUGAAGUUCUUACUCCAGAUUGCUCCAGAUAGUAUAUAGCUCACUGGCCCAACUGGAAACGAGGUGAACACCAAAAUGGCGGCUUCAUGAUUCUGAUUCAUGAAGGUAUAUUACAAAUUUACAAUUUUUCAAUAUUACAUGUAAACAUGGCACGUUUUAAAACGAAAAGCAUAGAUAAAUCUACGGAACUAAAUAAAAAGAUAGAUAUGUCACUCGGUAAGUAGUAAGUACUGUCUUAAUAUAACAUAAAUCUGACAGACAUUCCAAGUUUAGCACUGGAGGUUAUUAACAUUUAUAGGACUACAAGUUUAGCUAGUACGUACUUUAGUAGUUCGUCGAUCAGUGUGUUGAAAAUUAUCUAGUUCUUCUGGGUAAAAUAGUAAAAAUU